AUAAAAACUAUCAUACUAUAAAACCCGGACGAUGACCUUGACAUUACAGACCAGAAUUAUGGCUUCCAAAUCUUCAACAAAACUUGCUCUUUUCACUGUCCUCCUCCUCUUAUUUACCAUUGUUACAUCGUCUGGAAGGAUAAUCAUGGAAGAAGUACAAGUAGGUGAUGAAGGAGCAAUGGCAACAAUAGAGCUAUUAAGAAGUGAAGUGCUGCAGCACCAGCAAAAUGACAGAUGCACAUAUUAUCGUUGUCACUCUGAUUCUCAUUGCAAAAAGUUUUAUUGCUCUAGAUGUUCUUCGGACAUCAUGGGUAGGGGUGUUUGUAUGACUUAAUUGUACCAAUAUAUGUAAUAUAUAUGCACAUGGGAGAGAGCCUAGGCUGGAUGUUUGGAGUGCAAAAAUAUGAAGAAACGAUGCUCCUUCUAUAGGAGAAGAGGGUGGAUGCGUCGCAUCCAACCUUGAAAAAAAUGCAAUUUGGAGCAACCUUAGCAAUGAAGUCUUAAGAAGGCAUCCACCUUAGCAUUCGCACCUGGAUAAAGCAAGGUUGAGGGAACAGAGGGUGGACGCAAAGCAUUCACCCCAAUAUUCAAUGCUUAGAAGUUCAAGCUAAGGCGGACGCGAAGCAUCCACCCCACCAUCAAUCUCUGAAGCUGAUUCGGAAAAGAUAAAGGGAAAUUUUUGCCCACGACUUUUAUACGCAAUAUAUAGGUCAAAAACGUCUCUUUUAGGGGAUAGAACACACUUUUUGAAGGGGAUUCGACUUAGGGAUAGCAAGGAGCCACCGUGGAGGCCGGAUUUCAUCUUCUUCCGCCAAACUUAGUAUUUCUUAUGUUUCUCUAUAUGAUUUGUUGUUUGGCUAUCAUGUUUAUGUGGGGAGCUAAACUUCAAGUUCUAGGGUUGUGGUUCUUUCAUGACUCUUGUUAUUCGAAUAUUAUUUUGAUUU